rnacentral:misc_RNA from 1 species
CACAAUAAAAUAUGAAGGCUGUACGCGGCUGUGCUCUCGGGCCAGUUUUGCGGAGGCUGAAUUAUUUAUUACCCUUGUCUUUUGCGCACUUGUUGUUUCCUGGGCGGGUUCGCCCGCCACCAGGACCACAUCAUAAACCUUUUUUAUGCAGUUGCAAUCAGCGUCAGUAUAACAAAUGCAAAUCAUUUA